rnacentral:rRNA from 1 species
UUGAGUUAAAAUUCUUAAAUGUUUUUAUGGGACGAGAAGACCCUAUAGAGUUUAACAUUUUCUUGCUUUGGUGUUAUUGGUUUGAUUUAUAUUGUUUGAGGUUAGUUGAGUGUUUUGUUGGGGUGAUGGGAGGAAUGUAUUUAACUCCUCUUUAUUUUUAUAUAUUUAUUUAUAUUAGUUUGAUCCAUUUAUUUUGAUUAUAAGAUUAAAUUACCUUAGGGAUAACAGCGUUAUCUUCCUUGAGAGUUCUUAUUGGCAGGGAGGUUUGCGACCUCGAUGUUGGAUUAAGGUUAAUUUUCGGUGCAGAAGCUGAAAUGAUUUGGUCUGUUCGACCUUUAAAAUCUUACAUGAUCUGAGUUCAGACCGGCGUGAGCCAGGUUGGUUUCUAUCUAUAAUAAAGUUUAUACCUUAGUACGAGAGGACCGGGUAU